rnacentral:rRNA from 1 species
GACGAACGCUGGCGGCGUGCUUAACACAUGCCAGUCGAACGGAAAGGCCCUGCUUUUGUGGGGUGCUCGAGUGGCGAACGGGUGAGUAACACGUGAGUAACCUGCCCUUGACUUUGGGAUAACUUCAGGAAACUGGGGCUAAUACCGGAUAGGAGCUCCUGCUGCAUGGUGGGGGUUGGAAAGUUUCGGCGGUUGGGGAUGGACUCGCGGCUUAUCAGCUUGUUGGUGGGGUAGUGGCUUACCAAGGCUUUGACGGGUAGCCGGCCUGAGAGGGUGACCGGCCACAUUGGGACUGAGAUACGGCCCAGACUCCUACGGGAGGCAGCAGUGGGGAAUAUUGCACAAUGGGCGGAAGCCUGAUGCAGCAACGCCGCGUGCGGGAUGACGGCCUUCGGGUUGUAAACCGCUUCCGCCUGUGACGAAGCGUGAGUGACGGUAAUGGGUAAAGAAGCACCGGCUAACUACGUG